GCGCAGGGCGGAACCAUUGCUCGCGGAGCUGGCGUCGAGUCGGAACCUCGGACUGCAGGAAGUGGGAGCACCGCGGUUUCGGGGAAGAGACCGGGGUUGAGCGUCUAGCCCAUCUCUGCGUGACUUCCGCCAGCGUUUAGAGCGUUUUCGGGGUCCGAGUUGAAGAGCAAAACCAAGUGAAGGAAACUUCACUAAGUUCAGGGUGACAAGGGAGGAAGUACAGAGAAACAGAGCGCUUAAAAAGCACUGUCUGGAUAUCUUCAGAGGGAAAAAGGAGAAAGUUAACUGAAUUGGUGACACUUCGGGUCUCUCACAGAGGAAGGGAAAUGGUUAUUCUUGAUAUUUUGAGCAAACUCUUCUUCUCUGAUCAGUGCCCAGAACAAGGAAACAGACCUUCUCUUUCCAGUACCUCCUAUCUAUCUAGAUAAUACGGAAGCCAGGGAGAAGAAUGGGAACCCAAGAUCUAUGAGCCCUUAUGGCAUAUGAAAAGUGGGUGUUAUCUGAAAAGUAGAACUCUAGAUGAAACCAGGCCUUUCCCAACAAUGGAGCCCAGGACAAUGCUGUCUUCAAUGUCCAUACCAUUAGACUUGUUAUAGAUGAGUUUCUAUAAUGAUGGCUUUCUGGUUAAUUAAACCUUCUGAAUGAUUCUGUGUAACACUGACUUCUGUGAUUCAUCACAGAACAAGUCUUCCUUCUUUCAUGGAGUAUUACUGUUUUCAGUGACUAUAUUUGGUUGUUUACUCUUUUUGGCACCAAUCACCCAGUGAAUCAACAACCAGAGUUGCAAACAAAUUACCCUCAUUGUCUUUUCCGAGUCCCUUAAUUUACUUUAUUUUUCAUUUGUUGCAAAUGUCAUUGUUUCUGCUAAUGUUGUUUUUUAACAUCUGCCAAGAUAAAAAAUAAAAAAAUCACUUGUAAUCCUUGUAGCUUGUUUUCUUCACGAGUCAUAGAAGCUAUUGUAAGAUAAACUUCAAGCAGU
rnacentral:lncRNA from 1 species